AUUGAACGCUGGCGGCAUGCCUUACACAUGCAAGUCGAACGGUAACGGGCCUUCGGGUUCCGACGCGUGGCGGACGGGUGAGUAAUACAUCCGAACGUUCCCGAUCGUGGGGGAUAACGAGGCGAAAGCUUUUCUAAUACCGCAUACGAUCUACGGCUGAAAGCAGUGGACCGCAAGGCCUUGCUCGGACGGAUCGGCCGAGGGCGGUUGCUAUAGUUGGUGGGUUUAAAGUUUUUCAAGCCCACGAUCUGUAGCUGUUCGGAGAGGAUGAUCGGCCACACGGGGACGGAGACACGGACCAGACUACUACGGGAGGCAGCAGUGGGGAAUUUUGGACAACGGGCGCAAGCAUGAUACAGCAAGGCCGAGUGCAGGAUGAAGGCCUUCGGGUUGUAAACUGCUUUUGUACGGAACGAAAAGCCUUCUUUUAAUACAGGAGGGUAAUGACGGUACCGUAAGAAUAAGCACCGGCUAACUACGUG
rnacentral:rRNA from 1 species